AUGUUUCUGAUGCAGUCAGGGCCAAGAAACCCAUUGCAGGUGUGUGUGUGUUGUGUGUGUGUGUGGUGUGUACUGUGUGGUAUAUGUGUGUGUGUUGUGUGUGUGUGGUGUGCAUGUAUGUUGUGUGGUAUGUGGUGUGCAUGUGUGUUGUGUGGUAUGCAUUGUGUGUGUGGUAUGUGUGUGUCAUGUGUGUUGUGUGUUGUGUGGGGUGUGUGUUGUGUAUGGUGUGUGUGUGGUGUGUGUGCGUCAUGUGUGUGGUCUGUGUGUGGUGUAUGGUGUGUGUGCGUUGUGUGUGCAUGUGGUGUGUGUGUGUGUGUUGGGUAUGGUGUGAGUGCAUUGUGUGUGGUGUGUGUGCGUGUGUGUGUGGUAUGUGUGUGUCAUGUGUGUUGUGUAUAUGUGUGCAUUGUGUUUGCAUGUGGUGUGUGUCAUGGGUUGUGUAUGGUGUGUGUGUUGUGUGUGGUAUGUGUGUGUGUCAUGUGUGUUGUGUAUGCAUUGUUUGCAUGUGAUGUGUGUUCAUGUGUGUUGUGUAUGGUGUGUGUGCAUUGUGUGUGGUGUGUGUGUGUCAUGUGUGUUCUGUAUGGUGUGUGUUGUGUGUGUGGUAUGUGUUUCACGUGUGUUGUGUAUGGUGUAUGUGCGUGGUGUGUGCGUGUAUGGUGUGUGUGCGUUGUGUGCGUGUUGUGUCAUGUGUUGUGUAUGGUGUGUGCGUGUGUCAUGUGUGUGUUGUGUAUGUGUGUCAUGUGUGUUGUGUAUGGUGUGUGUACGUGGUAUGUGUGUGUCGUGUGUGUGUGGUGUAUGGUGUGUGUGAGUUGUGUGUGCGUGUGGUGUGUGUGCGUGUGGUAUGGGUGUGUCAUGUGUGUUGUGUAUGGUGUGUGCGCAUUGUGUGUGCGUGUUGUGUGUCAUGUGUGUUGUGUAUGGUGUGUGUGUGUUGUGUGUGGUAUGUGUGUGUUGUGUAUAAUGUGUGUGUGGUAUGUGUGUGUCAUGUGUGUUGUGUAUGGUGUGUGUGGUGUGUGUGCGUGUGGUGUGUGUGUGUGUCAUGUGUAUUGUGUGUGUCGUGUAUGGUGUGUGUGUGUGUUGUGUGUGUGUGCGUGUGUUGUGUGUAUGUGUGUGUGUCAGGGGUGGAUUACGCUGUGA
rnacentral:lncRNA from 1 species